CCUACGGGAGGCAGCAGUGAGGAAUAUUGGUCAAUGGGCGUAAGCCUGAACCAGCCAAGUCGCGUGAGGGAUGAAGGUUCUAUGGAUCGUAAACCUCUUUUAUAAGGGAAUAAAGUGCGGGACGUGUCCCGUUUUGUAUGUACCUUAUGAAUAAGGAUCGGCUAACUCCGUGCCAGCAGCCGCGGUAAUACGGAGGAUCCGAGCGUUAUCCGGAUUUAUUGGGUUUAAAGGGUGCGUAGGCGGCCUUUUAAGUCAGCGGUGAAAGUCUGUGGCUCAACCAUAGAAUUGCCGUUGAAACUGGGAGGCUUGAGUGGGCGAGAAGUAUGCGGAAUGCGUGGUGUAGCGGUGAAAUGCAUAGAUAUCACGCAGAACUCCGAUUGCGAAGGCAGCAUACCGGCGCCCAACUGACGCUGAAGCACGAAAGCGUGGGUAUCGAACAGGAUUAGAUACCCCAGUAGUC
rnacentral:rRNA from 1 species